CACAGUUUCAUCACUUUAUUAAAUGACACCAUAUCAUACACAAAGUAGUGACAUACACAACAGUGGUUUCUCUCUCCUCCUGCGCCCGUCGGUCGGCCCGGAGCGAGGCCGGAGCUACACAGCAUCACAACGAACGAGACCCAGAGUCAAAACAACUAAAUAAUAUCAAGUGUUGAAAAGUGUCGGCUAGGACCGACAGCGGCUUCACAGAGGUCCUCUGCACAGACGGGUCGGGUUUCUAGAAGAUACGGUUUGAAACCACGGGCCAGAGUACAAUCUCUGGGCCACGAGCAUGUGCGCGCGCACACACGUACACGUGCUCGCUCGCACGUGCGCACUCACACGUGCGCACUCACACGUGCAUGCUCCGGGCACGGUGGCCCUAGCAGCGACGGCGGAGAGGAAACCACCGGGACGCGCCCCCGGGACCAGAAGAAGUACUUCAUCCGGGGGUUCCCGACGAGCCUAGAGUACAGCCUGCUACUAACAGGGUACACUAUAGUGCCUAGCGCCCACCCUCCCUCUAUGACCCCACAUGGCUUCUGACCCUUGACCCCCGACAGUCCCCGAACCAUUAAGACCCAGGUUUAAGACGACCCAUCGCCGCCAAGCGCUCUCCAGAAUAAAAUAACGUUUUAUGUGAGGUAAUGACGCGUUUCCUGUUUCUAGAAAACAGAAGGACCCACAGUGCCCCCCCCGAGAAGGACAGACAGACACCCACCCCGAGGGACAGACACCCACCCCGAGGGACGGACAGACACCCACCCCGAGGGGACAGACAGACACCCACCCCGAGGGACAGACCGACACCCACCCCGAGGGACAGACAGACACCCGCCCGAGGGACAGACAGACGCCCGCCCCGGGGGACAGACAGACACCCGCUCCCGGGGGACAGACAGACGCCCGGGCGCCAGAGAGGAGAGAGAGAUCCUAACAGACAUGGAGGGCGGGGGGGAGGAGGCAGACGGUGGAAUGUCUCCUCUCCCACGGUUUCACCUUCUAUUUACAUUCUGCAUCGCCAUGGACACCGUGGAACCCAGGACGUAUUUACAAAAAAAACUAAAACGCGCUUCAGUCAUGAUGCAAUGAAAACAUUGAAAAAAAAUAAAAUAAAAUAAAACGAUAUAAACAACGUAUCGACAAGAGCACAAAUUAAAAACCAGGUCCUAUUUACACAUGUGCAACGAUGAGGGAGGGAGGGAGGAGAGAGAGAGGAGAUGGCUUCUGGACUCCAGGAGGCAGAGGGGCGUUGGGUUCGCCCCCCCGGGGCGACGCGGCCGGGCGGGGUUCACACCGCUUCAUAGCUCCGCACGGCUCCGGGUGCAACAACAAUCAACCCGGCCCGCCCCGGGACGCGAAACCAACGCACCCACGCCGGGAAAGGGGCUGUUUGUUUUUAAUUUCUUUUAGCGUUUCGUUUCUCGGCCGCACAAAUCGGACAGGCCGAUGGGGGGGGGGCAGGCAUCGACUGACACGGGGGGAGAUGGCAACGACCCUCGUGUGGAGCUCAGAGGCAGCGGACAGAAGGGCAGGGUCAAAUAAAAUAACAAAGUCAAAGAAUCAUAUUCACCAACGGGGAGUCCUAAAAUACUGGCAGCUUACAUCGUAGUUUGGAAUAAAACAUAAAUAACACAAACACACACGCACGCACACACACAAAAACACACACACACACACACACACACACACAGAGUGGCGGCAAGGGAGGGGUUCGGGGAAACUUCAACAUGACACGGUAACGGAAGUGUAAACAGAUAAAAACAGAAGAGGUGGUUUUGGUCUGAAGUCCGACGCACACCGGGCCGACAUGUGGGCCAAUCACGUGAGAGGAAGCAGGAGAGAGAUGUGGCUCGACCGGGAAUGGAUGAUGGGGGGGAGGGGCCAGUGAGCGGCCAAUCGGGAACGCCGAACUAAUCAGGACUUCGGAACGUCGACUCCAGUCACGUACAAAAAUAACGACAAAGAAAAAAAAAAAAAAGCUAAAUAAAAUUCGCAUGUUCGCCACAACAGUUUUAAAAUUCUCCAAUCAAUAAAUAAAAAAAGGACAUGGUAAUAUUCUCCAGAGGACCGGCCCUCCGUCUUAGAUCACUUCCUAGCAGCUAGGAGACCAAUCAAACACACACGCCAUGUGCGCGGGUGUGUGUGUGUGUGUGUGUGUGUGUCUGUGUGUGUGUGUGUGUGUAGUGUACAAGUCUUGUAGUUUUACACCCUGUCAUACAGCGAACAAGUGGUUAUGUUCCAUGUGUAGUGUGUUUGUGUGCGUGUAGUGUGUGGGUGUGUGUAGUAGAAAUGGGAAGUACACAGUAUGGGAAGGGGGAGAGAUGAGGUGUGUGUAGUUCAAGUGUGUGUGCGUUUGUGUUUGCGUUGCGUUGGGGGGGUUCAGAUGCUGUUCAGGGAUCCCGGCACGGAGCUGUGCUGAGACGAGUCGGAACCGGUUCCAUCUGGAGCAGGAGAGACCAGAGAGAGAGAGAGAGACCAGAGAGAGAGACCAGAGAGAGAGACAGGCCCGUCAACAGGGAGUUCUGGUGCCAUCGGACAACCUCAACAAGGAGGGGAACGAGUGAGUGUGUGUGAGAGUGUGAGUCUGUGUGUAUAAUAGUGUGUGUGUGUGUGUGUGUGUGUGUGCAUAAGAGUGUGAGCGUUUCUGAAUAACAGUGAGUGUGUAUAAGGCUGUGAGUGUGUAUAAGAGCAUGAGUGUUUUGUGUAUAGCUGUGAGUUUGUGUGAGUGAGUGAGUGUGUGUGUAUCAGUGUGUGUGUGUAUAAGGGUGUAUAAGAGUGUGUUUGUUUUACAGUGUGUGCAUUAGUGUAUGUCUAUUACAGUGUGUAUUACAGUGUGUGUAUGAGUGUAUAAGAGUGUGUGUGUGCAUUACAGUGUGUGUAUUAGAGUGUGUAUAAUAGUGUGUAUUGUGUGUGUGUGUGUGCGUAUAAGAGUGUAUUGGAAUGUGUAUUGUGUCUGUAUUGUGUGUGUAUAAGAGUGUAUUAGAGUGUGUAUUAGAGUGUAUUGUGUGCAAGUGUAUUAGUGUGUAUUAGAGUGUGUGUUAGAGUGUGUAUUGUGUGUGUGUGUAUUAGUGUGUGUUAGAGUGUGUAUUGUAGUGUGUUAGAGUGUGUAUUAGUGUGUUAGUGUGUAUAGAGUGUGUAUAGUGUGUGUUAGUGUGUGUAUUAUAGUGUGUAUUAGUGUGUAUUAGAGUGUAUAGUGUGUGUGUAGUGUGUGUGUGUAUUAGUGUGUGUUAGAGUGUGUAUUAUAGUGUGUAUUAGUGUGUGUCAGAGUGUGUAUAGAGUGUGUCUAGUGUGUGUGUUCUGACCGGCGCUGCUGUAGUUGAAGAGGGGGCAGGGUGUGUGUUAGAGUGUGUAUAGUGUGUGUUAGUGUGUGUAUAGUGUGUGUGUGUUGUGUUGUGUGUUAGUGUGUGUAUAGAGUGUGUCUAGUGUGUGUUCUGACCGCGGUUCAGUAGUUGAAGAGGGG
ensembl:lncRNA